rnacentral:rRNA from 1 species
AUCAGCUUGUUGGUGAGGUAAUGGCUCACCAAGGCGACGACGGGUAGCCGGCCUGAGAGGGCGACCGGCCACACUGGAACUGAGACACGGUCCAGACUCCUACGGGAGGCAGCAGUGGGGAAUAUUGCACAAUGGGCGCAAGCCUGAUGCAUCGACGCCGCGUGGGGGAUGAAGGCCUUCGGGUUGUAAACCCCUUUCAGCAGGGAAGAAGCGAAAGUGACGUUACCUGCAUAAGAAGCGCCGGCUAACUACGUGCCAGCAGCCGCGGUAAUACGUAGGGCGCAAGCGUUGUCCGGAAUUAUUGGGCGUAAAGAGCUCGUAGGCGGUUCGUCGCGUCUGCUGUGAAAGCCCGAGGCUCAACCUCGGGUCUGCAGUGGGUACGGGCGGACUAGAGUGUGGUAGGGGAGACUGGAAUUCCUGGUGUAGCGGUGGAAUGCGCAGAUAUCAGGAGGAACACCAAUGGCGAAGGCAGGUCUCUGGGCCACAACUGACGCUGAGGAGCGAAAGCGUGGGGAGCGAACAGGAUUAGAUACCCUGGUAGUCCACGCCGUAAACGGUGGGCACUAGAUGUGGGGCUCUUUCCAUGAGUUCCGCGUCGCAGCUAACGCAUUAAGUGCCCCGCCUGGGGAGUACGGCCGCAAGGCUAAAACUCAAAGGAAUUGACGGGGGCCCGCACAAGCGGCGGAGCAUGCGGAUUAAUUUGAUGCAACGCGAAGAACCUUACCAAGGCUUGACAUAUACCUUCUAUCUUCAGAGAUGGGGAGUGCUUUUAGCGGGGUAUACAGGUGGUGCAUGGUUGUCGUCAGCUCGUGUCGUGAGAUGUUGGGUUAAGUCCCGCAACGAGCGCAACCCUCGUCCUAUGUUGCCAGCACGUAAUGGUGGGGACUCAUAGGAGACUGCCGGGGUCAACUCGGAGGAAGGUGGGGAGGACGUCAAAUCAUCAUGCCCCUUAUGUCUUGGGCUUCACGCAUGCUACAAUGGCCGGUACAAAGGGAUGCGAUACCGUAAGGUGGAGCGAAUCCCAAAAAGCCGGUCUCAGUUCGGAUUGAGGUCUGCAACUCGACCUCAUGAAGUUGGAGUCGCUAGUAAUCGCAGAUCAGCAACGCUGCGGUGAAUACGUUCCCGGGCCUUGUACACACCGCCCGU